AUACGUGUAGGGUGGAGAUGUACAACUGUUGGUCCGCGUAGCAGCUCGCUUUACCAAGACGCCUCAUCUCGUCCGCUACCAACAGCUGAUUCCUCCUCCUGACUUAGUGCUUUCUGUUAUCACAGCGAGCAGGAGACGUCCGUCGCGGCCCAGCACAAUUGGCUGCCGCCGCUAGACACUGGAACGCUUUACGACCGUUCCUGACGCACCUGACACCGACCCCUGAAGUCGUGUGUGCCGAACGCCGCUUCCGCCAGCACCGGAAACCGA
rnacentral:ncRNA from 1 species